AAUGAACGCUGGCGGCAUGCCUUACACAUGCAAGUCGAACGGCAGCAUGACCUAGCUUGCUAGGUUGAUGGCGAGUGGCGAACGGGUGAGUAAUGCAUCGGAACGUGCCUUUUAGUGGGGGAUAACGUAGCGAAAGUUACGCUAAUACCGCAUAUUCUCUGAGGAGGAAAGCAGGGGACCUUCGGGCCUUGCGCUAGAAGAGCGGCCGAUGUCGGAUUAGCUAGUUGGUGAGGUAAAGGCUCACCAAGGCAACGAUCCGUAGCGGGUCUGAGAGGAUGAUCCGCCACACUGGGACUGAGACACGGCCCAGACUCCUACGGGAGGCAGCAGUGGGGAAUUUUGGACAAUGGGCGCAAGCCUGAUCCAGCCAUGCCGCGUGAGUGAAGAAGGCCUUCUGGUUGUAAAGCUCUUUCGGCUGGGAAGAAAUCGCACCCUCUAAUACAGGGUGUGGAUGACGGUACCAGCAUAAGAAGCACCGGCUAACUACGUG
rnacentral:rRNA from 1 species